GAUGAACGCUAGCGGCAGGCUUAAUACAUGCAAGUCGAGGGGCAGCAUGACUGUAGCAAUACAGUUGAUGGCGACCGGCAAACGGGUGCGGAACACGUACGCAACCUACCCAAAACUGAGGAAUAGCCCGGGGAAACCCGGAUUAAUACUUCGUAACAUAAUUGAAUGGCAUCAUUUAAUUAUUAUAGCUCCGGCGGUUUUGGAUGGGCGUGCGCCUGAUUAGGUAGUUGGUAGGGAACGGCCUACCAAGCCAACGAUCAGUAACUGGUGUGAGAGCACGACCAGUCACACGGGCACUGGAGAC
rnacentral:rRNA from 1 species